CCUUGUGGAGGAGGACGCCGAAGGUGGGGCUAAUGACUGGGGUGAAGUCGUAACAAGGUAGCCGUACCGGAAGGUGCGGCUGGAUCACCUCCUAACAGGGAGACAACAAAAUGUUUAAUAUUAUUUUGUCACCUUAGGUCGAUCGGUAUCUCACAUCCUUAAAUUUUUGAGGAUUUUAUUUCCUAAGUUUUUUCUAGGUCACACCCAUUAUUUUUCCUGGGCCAUUAGCUCAGGUGGUUAGAGCGCACCCCUGAUAAGGGUGAGGUCCCUGGUUCAAGUCCAGGAUGGCCCAUAUCUCUAUGUUGGGGGUAUAGCUCAGUUGGUAGAGCGCCUGCUUUGCAAGCAGGAUGUCAGCGGUUCGAGUCCGCUUACCUCCACUGAUCACCACCUCUUUCAUAUUUUGAAGAAAGGAAAUGUUUUGAGUUGUGAUCAAAUUCUGAACGAAUCUAGCUUCCUAAUGAGCAUCAUUAAGAUGCUGGACUCAUUGAAUUAAUUUCAUUGUUUUCAGAGAACCUUGACAACUGCAUAGAUUAUUUUUAAAGACAAUAAGCAUCUUUAAUGAUGCAGAUUUAUUAUUUGUGCAAAUGCAUUAAUAACAAUUCUAUUAAGCUGAUGCUUCAAUUUUGAAGUUAUUGGUCAAGCUACAAAGGGCUCACGGAGGAUACCUAGGCACACAGA
rnacentral:misc_RNA from 1 species